GUAUUUUUUUCCUUAGAGAUAAAACACUAAAGCAAGUCAUGUUCUUUCCCCAUCUAGUUCGUCCUCCAUCCACGCCCCUUCUCUUCUCUCUCUUCUGUUUUUUUUUCUUUCUCUUCCUAAGACUAAGAACUAUUACGAGUUUUGGAGUUGUGUGAAUUUGUAUUACCACUUUUUGAGGUAAUAUUCUAGUUCAGUACCGCUUCAAAUAAUGCCCUAAAAAUAUAUUUUCAAGAUCUGCUUCAGGAUGCAGAUCUGUUCUGUUUUCUUCUUCUUGCCUCCGUCCUUAAAUUCUAGGAUUUUAUUUUUCACAUCUACAAUUCAUUUUGGGACGAUGUUAGUCUUAUUUGGUAGAGUUCGUGUAAUUUUAUUAGCUCCUAUGGAUGACGAAAAGCGUAAGAAGUGUGAAGGUUGGAGGCGUAUUUCACUAGAUUCAUAGAAGUCAGUUCUAUGUGAUUGAAGAUGGAUAGUAGCUGGGAGGCAUGAUUGCUGAAAAAUUUGAUAUUUUUGAAGCUCAAGAAAUUUUAGAUUUAUAGCACUUAUAAAUUCUACAAUGAGGAGAUUCUCCUUCAUGAAUUUGGCUUUAGAAACUAGCAGCUUAUUCUUGAAAUUUUGUAAGAGAGGAUGUUCUCUUAUACCAAAAGUAAUAUUGGAGGUUAGGCUUGAAGUCCCCCUCCUCUUGUACAUCUGAACCAGUUUUUACAUGGAAUAAAGAAUAUUCCUAUUCAAAUAA